AGUGAACGUUGGCGGCGUGCCUAACACAUGCAAGUCGAACGAGUUCCAGGGCUUCGGCCCUGGCGCGAGUGGCGAACGGGUGAGUAACACGUAUGUAACCUGUCCGGAAGUGGGGAACAACUCCGCGAAAGCGGGGCUAAUACCGCAUAUGGUCGCCGGUGAGAGACCGGUGGACGAAAGCCUUCGGGCGCUUCCGGAGGGGCGUGCGGCCGAUUAGCUAGUUGGUGGGGUAACGGCUCACCAAGGCGACGAUCGGUAGCUGGUCUGAGAGGACGGCCAGCCACACGGGGACUGAGACACGGCCCCGACUCCUACGGGAGGCAGCAGCAAGGAAUUUUGCGCAAUGGGCGAAAGCCUGACGCAGCAACGCCGCGUGGGGGACGAAGGCCUUCGGGUCGUAAACCCCUUUUGUAGGGGAAGCAACUGACGGUACCCUACCAACAAGCCACGGCUAACUACGUG
rnacentral:rRNA from 1 species